rnacentral:lncRNA from 1 species
AUGGGAACAAAGUUAUUUUGCCUAGCUCUUCUACCUGGACUCCCAAACCCCUGUGCCAUCAGCACCGCUCGGAAGAGACUGAAAAACACUGCUAACAGCCAGCUACGAAGAGGUCGUGAGAACGAAUCGGUACCGCCUAGAAGUACGGAAAACGGGUUUAUCUUUGCACAGAGGUCCGAGCCGCUCCGAGAGCGCCCUGGCACUGCCCCAAGGGCAUUCCCGCGGCGCUGCCCAACGCCACCAGGCUUCGGGGUCCCCCCUCGCGCACCCCCGCUGACGGCACUCCGCCAGCAGCAGCCGCGAGGAGCGGAGCCCCCUCGGAGCGGAGCCCCCUCGGGGCCGGGUCCCGCCCCGGCUCCGCGCCCAACUUCUCCCCGAGGCUCGGGGGGGUCCCGGGGCGCCACUUACCGCCGGCAGCCGCGGGCGGGGAGCGGCGGGGAAGCCCGGCGGGGGCAGGCGGCGGCGGCGGCGGCAGAGCAGGCCGAGCAGGGCGCCCAGCGCGGCGGCGGCGGCGGCGCAGCCCGCGUNNNNNNNNNNNNNNNNNNNNGGCCGGGUCCCGCCCCGGCUCCGCGCCCAACUUCUCCCCGAGGCUCGGGGGGGUCCCGGGGCGCCACUUACCGCCGGCAGCCGCGGGCGGGGAGCGGCGGGGAAGCCCGGCGGGGGCAGGCGGCGGCGGCGGCGGCAGAGCAGGCCGAGCAGGGCGCCCAGCGCGGCGGCGGCGGCGGCGCAGCCCGCGUAGAGGGCGAGGCGGAGCAGCGGCAGGGCCAGGCAGAGCGGCCCGCAGCCCCCCGCCUCCUGCCGGCCCAGGUAGGCGACGGACACGGCCAGCAGCGCCAGCCCCGCCGCCAGCACGAAGCGGGACGCGCCGGGGUCCCCGUCCUCUUCGUCUUCAGCCGCCUCCUCCUCCUCCUCGCCGCUGCGGCUGCUGUGCGAGCACGGAGGGGGGGCGGCGGCGGCGACCCCCGGCGCCUCGGGCUGCCCGGCCGUGCCGCUAGCGCUGUCGGCAGCGGGGAACAUGCUGCUCGGGGCGCCGCGGGCACGCAGCGCAUCUCCCGCUAG